GAUGAACGCUAGCGGCAGGCUUAACACAUGCAAGUCGAGGGGCAGCAUGACGGAACCUUCGGGUUUUGUUGAUGGCGACCGGCGCAAGGGUGCGUAACGCGUGAGCAACUUGCCCUUAUCAGGGGGAUAACCGUUGGAAACGACGACUAAUACCCCAUGGUGUGAUGACGAGGCAUCUCGUUGUCACUAAAGAUUCAUCGGAUAAGGAUAGGCUCGCGUGACAUUAGCUAGACGGCGGGGUAACGGCCCACCGUGGCUACGAUGUCUAGGGGUUCUGAGAGGAAGGUCCCCCACACUGGUACUGAGACACGGACCAGACUCCUACGGGAGGCAGCAGUGAGGAAUAUUGGUCAAUGGACGCAAGUCUGAACCAGCCAUG
rnacentral:rRNA from 1 species